GAGGCAUGACAAAUAUGAUGCCUGGCUUUCGCGGCCGGCUGAAGUAUUUUUUUCACCCAUGUCUUUUGCGCACUUGUUGUUUCCUGGGCGGGUUCGCCCGCCACCAGGACCAAACCAUAAACCUUUUUUUUCUUAUGCAGUUUCCAUCAGCGUCAGUAAAAACAAUGUAAUUAUUACAACUUUCAACAACGGAUCUCUUGGUUCUGGCAUCGAUGAAGAACGCAGCGAAAUGCGAUACGUAGUGUGAAUUGCAGAAUUCAGUGAAUCAUCGAAUCUUUGAACGCACAUUGCGCCCUUUGGUAUUCCAAAGGGCAUGCCUGUUCGAGCGUCAUUUGUACCUUCAAGCUUUGCUUGGUGUUGGGCGUUUUUUUGUCUCCCUCUUUCUGGGAGACUCGCCUUAAAACGAUUGGCAGCCGGCCUACUGGUUUCGGAGCGCAGCACAUUUUUUGCGCUUUGUAUCAGGAGAAAAGGACGGUACUCCAUCAAGACUCUACAUUUUUCACUUUUGACCUCGGAUCAGGUAGGGAUACCCGCUGAACUUAAGCAUAUCAAAGCGGGGAGAGGAA
rnacentral:rRNA from 1 species